AGAAAAGGGAAACAAAGAGGGGAGGAAACUUCCUAAAGGUGCCUUCGGGGGCGCACAUGUGAGGAGGAAACAGAAGGGAUGCACUCCUAAAUGAAGUUGAGAAUUCUGGAGGGAAUCGAGAUGUCCUUCCCCGGAUCGGGUCAUACCUGAAGCAGACAGCCUCGACCAUUGUGUCCUCAGAGGGUGAGUCCAGACGAGUGUGCAUGUGCCUUGCAAUGCCUCAAAGCCACAUGCGGGGACAAAAUUAGACUCCUGGAUAUCAAGGGGUCAAAACUACCUGUAGUGGAAAAAAGCAGCCUUGCACAAUGCACUGAAGAGGGAAAUGUCCAACCAAACCACCGUGACUGAGUUCCUGUUCCUGGGCUUUUCCGAUAUUCGGGAGCUCCAGAUCUUACACUUUGUUAUCUGUCUAGCAGCAUACUUGGCAGCCCUGGUGGGGUAUCUCAUCAUCACAAUUGUAACUCUUAACUACAAACUUCAUUCCCCUUUGUACUUCUUCUUGAUUAAUUUGUCUGUCUUGGAUCUUGGCUCCAUCUCAGUUACCAUGCUCAGGGGCAACCCGUAGCAGGUUUAUGUGGGUACAUGUGUGCCCCUGAGCAUGGUGGUGCACCCCCAACAAAAAGGUGCUGCCAACAGUGUCGGUGGUGCCUGCAGGCAGACAACGUUGACCACCUCAUCACCAAAACCACUGGCGGCCUCUGAGGGCCAUCUGCAAUUGCCGCUGGCACCACUGCCAGUGGUGCCUGGGGGUGGUUGCUGACCCCUGUUCAGAACUCACCACCCACUGCUCCCCCGCACUGCCAACAGCACCAGCGGCAUCUACGGGAGCUCUGUGCUUACCACUGCCGCGCUCCUGCUGCCACCACCACGCUCCCGCCACUGCCAGUGCAGCUGUGCCCCCCAGCUGCUGGAGGCACGCGUUCUUCAUGAUACCCAGAUUUCCAAAGAGCUUUUCAACCUAUCUAAGAAGGGUAAGCACCUAACUCCAACUACACCUGGGCUAGUGCCCCACUGCCCCUCCACCUAUCUUAUACAACUGGCUUGUGGAAAUUGUGGAAUCUGCUCAUUCAACUUUUUCAAGCAGAAAAUAAAUAAGCAUCUGUCUUAAAAGGUUUAGGAGUAGUGAAAUCCUAAUUUGGGGACUGGGAAAGGUUGUUUUGUUUUUUUGUUUUUUUAAAUUUCUCCCAUGAUGGGAUCAUUGCUUCUGGCCAUGGGAACAUCCAUGAUGAGAGUGAAUUCCAAACAGCAUAAAUCUUGUAUCUGCUGGACUCCCACCAACCCCUGUCCCAAGUGGGAGCCACCAGUACAGUAAGUUAUCAUGGAGGCUGAAGGACAGAGACACAUAUUGUCAGAUCAGGCUCUGGCAUCCAUCAGGCAAGAGACAUAAGGUCCAUGAACAAGUCUCUGAUCCCUUGAUGCUCCUUGUGGAGCCUGCCUGGCAUGGGCUGUACAUGGCAUGAGUCUGCACAGGGAUGUAUGCUUCAUGUGGCACCUGUGCCAGGCUAGCCCUAUGUACUAGUUUGGGGAUUUGUCUGGAUUGGGCCCAUUGACCCACCCUACACAUAGGAUCCAGUGUGCACAGUUAGCUACACAUCUGUCCCACUGGGCAGUUUUUACUGUGCAGUCAUGUAGGACUUUCUUUAGCAAGAACUAAAUGAACACGCAGUACCCGCCACGACUAUGCAGUCC